rnacentral:rRNA from 1 species
GACGAACGCCGGCGGCAGGCUUAACACAUGCAAGUCGAACGCCCCGCAAGGGGAGUGGCAGACGGGUGAGUAACACGUGGGAACGUACCCUUUGGUUCGGAAUAACUUGGGGAAACUCAAGCUAAUACCGGAUAAGCCCUUAUGGGGAAAGGUUUACUGCCGAAGGAUCGGCCCGCGUCUGAUUAGCUAGUUGGUGAGGUAAUGGCUCACCAAGGCGACGAUCAGUAGCUGGUCUGAGAGGAUGAUCAGCCACACUGGGACUGGGACACGGCCCAGACUGCUACGGGAGGCAGCAGUGGGGAAUAUUGGACAAUGGGGGCAACCCUGAUCCAGCCAUGCCGCGUGAGUGAUGGAGGCCUUAGGGUUGUAAAGCUCUUUUACCCGGGACGAUAAUGACUGUACCGGGAGAAUAAGCCCCGGCUAACUUCGUGCCAGCAGCCGCGGUAA